CAGGGCCUGUUGGAAACGCAGUCUUUGCAUGAAGCAGAUGAGGAUGUGGUCACUGAUGUUGAUUUCCCCAAUAUGAUUUCUGAAGAAGAAAAAGAAGAGUUAAAGAUUGAGCUAAUCAAGCUAAAGGACUCAACUUCAACUUUGGGGCAAGUGCUAGCAGCCAAAGAACAGCACCUGGUUGAAAUCAAACACAAGCUUGGCAUAAUGAUGAAUGAGCUGAAGCAGAACUUCAGCAAAAGCUGGCAUGGUACCAGACCACUUCUGCUAACAAGAAAACACAUGAGACCCUGAGCCAUGCGGGACAAAAAGCAACAGCAGCUAUCAGCAGUGCAGGAACUGCUAUCAGCAUGAAGUUUGCUGAUACGAAGUAUAAGGAUCUGCUGCUUCUCUGGUCUUAA